rnacentral:rRNA from 1 species
GGGCCCGCACAAGCGGUGGAGCAUGUGGUUUAAUUCGAUGCAACGCGAAGAACCUUACCUACACUUGACAUCAUCAGAACUUGUUAGAGAUAACUCGGUGCCUUCGGGAACUGAUAGACAGGUGCUGCAUGGCUGUCGUCAGCUCGUGUCGUGAGAUGUUGGGUUAAGUCCCGCAACGAGCGCAACCCUUGUCCUUAGUUACCAGCGGGUUAAGCCGGGAACUCUAAGGAUACUGCCAGUGACAAACUGGAGGAAGGCGGGGACGACGUCAAGUCAUCAUGGCCCUUACGACCAGGGCUACACACGUGCUACAAUGGUAGGUACAGAGGGCAGCUACACAGCGAUGUGAUGCGAAUCUCAAAAAGCCUAUCGUAGUCCAGAUUGGAGUCUGCAACUCGACUCCAUGAAGUAGGAAUCGCUAGUAAUCG